rnacentral:rRNA from 1 species
AGUGAACGCUGGCGGUAGGCCUAACACAUGCAAGUCGAACGGCAGCACAGUAAGAGCUUGCUCUUACGGGUGGCGAGUGGCGGACGGGUGAGGAAUACAUCGGAAUCUACUUUUUCGUGGGGGAUAACGUAGGGAAACUUACGCUAAUACCGCAUACGACCUACGGGUGAAAGCAGGGGAUCUUCGGACCUUGCGCGAUUGAAUGAGCCGAUGUCGGAUUAGCUAGUUGGCGGGGUAAAGGCCCACCAAGGCGAUGAUCCGUAGCUGGUCUGAGAGGAUGAUCAGCCACACUGGAACUGAGACACGGUCCAGACUCCUGCGGGAGGCAGCAGUGGGGAAUAUUGGACAAUGGGCGCAAGCCUGAUCCAGCCAUACCGCGUGGGUGAAGAAGGCCUUCGGGUUGUAAAGCCCUUUUGUUGGGAAAGAAAAGCAGCAGGUUAAUACCCCGCUGUUCUGACGGUACCCAAAGAAUAAGCACCGGCUAACUUCGUG